UCCAAACACGGAGCACGGAUGUCCAGGG
rnacentral:piRNA from 1 species